rnacentral:lncRNA from 1 species
GGACUAGGAGUAUCAUCAUUAAUUCUUUGAGAAUCCUGUUCUAUUCUUUUAGGAUGACCUUCGGGAAAAAGGGGUUCCUGAGUCAUUUUACCUUCUCUAGUCAUUACUCUAACAACAUGAUCAUUAAUGGUAUUCAUAUCAGCAAGCAAAUCAUUUUGUGACUUAGCUACUUGAUCUAGUUGAGUGUGAACCAUAGAGGCAAGUUUACCCAGACCCUUCACAUAAUUAGCAAUUCUAAAGAUUAAGUCACUUAAGAGGUCUAUCAUCAUGGCAUUAUUACUCAAUUGAU